rnacentral:rRNA from 1 species
UACGUAGGGGGGCAAGCGUUGUCCGGAUUUACUGGGCGUAAAGAGCGCGCAGGCGGUCGUUCAAGUCGCGUGUGAAAGCCCCCGGCUCAACUGGGGAGGGUCACGCGAUACUGAUCGACUCGAAGGCAGGAGAGGGUGUGGAAUUCCCGGUGUAGUGGUGAAAUGCGUAGAUAUCGGGAGGAACACCAGUGGCGAAGGCGACUACCUGGCCUGUUCUUGACGCUGAGGCGCGAAAGCUAGGGGAGCAAACGGG